rnacentral:rRNA from 1 species
GAUGAACGCUGGCGGCGUGCCUAAUACAUGCAAGUCGAGCGAACAGACGAGGAGCUUGCUCCUCUGACGUUAGCGGCGGACGGGUGAGUAACACGUGGAUAACCUACCUAUAAGACUGGGAUAACUUCGGGAAACCGGAGCUAAUACCGGAUAAUAUAUUGAACCGCAUGGUUCAAUAGUGAAAGACGGUUUUGCUGUCACUUAUAGAUGAAUCCGCGCCGCAUUAGCUAGUUGGUAAGGUAACGGCUUACCAAGGCGACGACGCGUAGCCGACCUAAGAGGGUGAUCGGCCACACUUGAGCUGAGACACGCUCCAGACUCCUACGGGAGGCAGCAGUAGGGAAUCUUCCGGAAGGGGCGAAAGCCUGACGGGGCAACGCCGCGUGAGUGAUGAAGGUCUUCGGAUCGUGAAACUCUGUUAUUAGGGAAGAACAAAUGUGUAAGUAACUAUGCACGUCUUGACGGUACCGAAGCAGAAAGCCACGGCUAACUACGU